GGCCCCGUCGUCUAGCGGCCUAGGACACCGGCCUUUCACGCCGGUAACACGGGUUCGAUUCCCGUCGGGGUCA
rnacentral:tRNA from 1 species